GAGCUUCAAAUCAAUAAUCAACUGCUUCACCCACCCCAAAUAAAGGAUACACUCACGCAAACUUGAUUUAGAUUUUCAGCUGGGGCGUCUAUGGAGAAAAAAAAAUCCUCCAUGAAAAUUCAUGCUAAAAGCUACCGCCAUAGGCAUUAAUAUACUUAACUUUAAUUGACCCAAUUUUUGAUCAACGGACCAAGUUACCCCAGGGAUAACAGCGCAAUCCACUUAAAGAGUCCUUAUCGACAAGUGGGCUUACGACCUCGAUGUUGGAUCAGGGCAUCCAAGUGGUGCAGCCGCUACUAAAGGUUCGUUUGUUCAACGAUUAAAGCCCU
rnacentral:rRNA from 1 species